GGAGGUGAAAGGAGCCCGGGGGUUCUCGCGGUCUUCAAAACCGUUGUGCCGUCUUGCGGCGGCGGGUGGGUUCGACUCCCAUUCACCUCCGCCA
rnacentral:tRNA from 1 species